AGCUUUGCGCAGUGGCAGUAUCGUACCAAUGAGGUUUAUCCGAGGCGUGAUUAUUGCUAAUCAAACACCGGUGGCAGUGAACAUUGGCCCGCACGCUUUGGAAAAUGCUUUGGCAU
ensembl:snRNA U4 U4 spliceosomal RNA